GUCUACGGCCAUACCACCCUGAACGCGCCCGAUCUCGUCUGAUCUCGGAAGCUAAGCAGGGUCGGGCCUGGUUAGUACUUGGAUGGGGGGGGAUGCUGUUUGGUUUCCCCAUCACUCAGGAGGCCCAGUGUACAAC
rnacentral:rRNA from 1 species